UGCCAUGAAAUAUCAAGAACCUCAAACACAUUUGAACAAUUAUAUGAGAAUUAAACGCACAAAGAACGAAAGGCAAUAAUCAUUCAUUACAACAUUCGAGGUACUUAGCAACCACAGUAACUAAUGCACGAUAAUCUUUUCAGCAGAUAUGAUCACUUGACAUUAGGGCUGGCAAAUGAGCGAGCCGGCUCGCGUUCGACUCGAUAUUUGGCUCACUCGAGCUCGACUCGAAAUUAAAUGAGCCGAGCUUGAACAAAAAAAAAGGCUUGAAAUUCAUUUCAAGCCGAGCAUGAGUAUUACUCGGCUCGUUCGAAUUAGGCUCGAAAAGCUUGAAUAUAUAUAUAUAUAUAGUAGAGCUACUAUGCUAUCGAAAGUAUAGAGGGUCCGGUGCUUUCGAUUUUUUGAUUCUUAGAUCAACCUCUUUAAUCAAUUCUUAUUUUUGGAUUAAUAUUAUUAUAUUACCUUGUAGGGACCACUCAAUCCUAGGGAUAUUAUUUAAUCCUAGGGGGACCGCAAUCAUCCCAACCAUACAAUUCUUAAUCAAAGGGUUAAAAAUUCGAAAACAUCAAAUCCUCUCUAUAUAUAUAAUUAUUUAUUAAAAAAAUAUAUAUUUUAAUUAUAUAUACGCUGAGUGAAUAAUCUGAGUUUAGUUAAAAUUGGGCCAAUGUUGUUGGCCCAUAAAAACAAACUCAAUAGACAAAUAAAAGAACAAAAUUUCACUAAAUUUAUACAUUUUUCCUUUCUUUCUUUUUCUCACCGAGCUCUAAAUUUUUAAUAUAUUUCUCUCUUUCUCUUUUUCUGUCUUUCACCCUAAGUGGCCAAGCCAGAAGCCCUCCAAGUUCAAGUAACAGCAUAUGCCCGCCGUUGCCUACCUUACUAUUAAUUGUAUGCUUGAGAAAAUAUACAUAAUAUUUUUAAAGUAAAAAAUUAUUACUCAUAUAAAAUUUUAAUUUUAGUUAUAUAUGAUUGGAUAGUUUAAUCCAAUAUUUAUCUAUAUAAUUUAAUUAUUUUUGACUGCAUAAAUGAAAACUAAUAAUAUGGAGAUUGAAGGCGGAAGAAAAGACAUGUGAGGCUAAAAAGAUUAGAUAUUCAACUCAUUUUUUUUUUCAUAUUAUAAUACUAUAUUUCAUAUAAUUAUUUUGUACUUUGAACUAUUAGACAUAUUUUUGUAUCAAAUUAUAGAUAAUGUUCUAUACAAAUUAAACUAUUGAUCGUAUGAUGUUGAGAAUUUCAAGCGGCUCGUUUAGGGCUCGAGCUCGCUCGACUCGAAAUUAGGCUCGCUCAAGCUCGGCUCGAAUUAAUUUCAAUCCAAGCUUGAACUUAAAUUUAGGCUCGAAAUUAAUUUCAAGCCGAAUUUGAGCCGAGGUAAGCUCGCUCGAGCUCGGCUCGUUUCCACCCCUACUUGACAUACACAGUGGUCAUACAUUUUUAUGUUUUGAACGUAAUGAAUCCAGACAUUAGACAAAUAUAGGAAAUAAUUUCUGGUUCAUUGUAAUUUUAGUUGCUUGGAUGAUGGUAGUCCAAUGGUUAGCACUCAAAAAGAAGGUCUUUCUCAAAUACUUUGACAAAAUACGAUCAGCGCGAUGAGAGAAAGAUCAAGUAUUGAAUGGAACUUGAAAGAGAGUUUGUUGCACUUACAAUAGCAAGGAAUCCACAAAAAUCACCGGGCAUUUGGUCGAACUAAAGAUCAGAUCGUACCUAUAUAUAGGCUUAGAUCUCCGCAAUUCAGCUGUAAUCACAUUUUCUAAACUGCAUUUCGAUCAUAGCACAUCCAAUGCUGCUUUUUUUUCCCAAUUGAUAAUACAUUGCCUAAUUGGGCGUGAGAUUAUUGUGUCAUAUUACACUUCAAGGGUUAAGCAAGAAAUAUGCUUGACACUUCAAAUUUCUUCUUUUGUUUUGCCUAUUGGCCGUUUGUUCAUGCCAUCAUGAACUCUCAAUUAGUAGGUAAUACCGAUUCACACACACCCUGAAUCAGCAAUUAUUAACUCAUUUGUCUAAGCAUUUCUACAUCAAUAGAAAGUCACGAAUUUUGGGGAUCAUUCUUAGCUACAUAUGCUAAACUUGCUAUGUUUAGGCCAACUACUAAAAAUAGUUAAAUACAGAGGUUUAAAACAAACACAUUUCUUCCUUGUUUUAUCUUGAUUGGACACUGAGUUCCAAAGAAGUAGAUGUCACGAUGUCAACUGGUCAUAGAGGUUCCUCAAUGAUUAUGAAGAAUAUUGUGAGCUUUCAGCUGUAAUGAAGUUGACCCUGUAUUUUUGAUAAACAGUUCGGCACGAUGAUUUCUUCUAAUUGGACUCCUAAAUGCAUUAGAGUUUAGGGCGUGUUUGGUUCGCUCCUUUUUCACCAUGGAAUCGGAAUCGGAAUGGGUGACUCCGUUUGUGGGUGUUUGGGAUGCGGGAGUUUCAUUCCGAUUCCGAUUCCCGAGUGGAAUGGGAAUCCCCUAAACACCUCUUUUCCCAAUCCGGCCUAAGAGGCUGGAUUGGAAGUUGAAUCCGGACGGAAUGGGAAUUUAUUUGGAUUAAAUUAAAAUUUUCAGCUUUUUUAAUUAAAAUAUGAGUUUAAAUUUAGAAAUUAAAUUUAUAAUUUUAAAUUUUAAUUUUAAUUUGAAUUAAAAAUUAAAAUGUAAUCAAGAAUUUUGAAUCUAACUUAUAAUUUUGUAUUUAAGUUAAAUUUUAAUUUAUAUAAAGUUUUAUUCUAAUUUUAUUUAAAACUUAAGUUAAAUUUAUGGAUUCAAAUUAAAAUUUAAAUUGUAAUUUUAAGUUUGAAUUUGAAUAAAUUGAAGUUUAGUUUUAUAUUUUGAAUUAUCCACUCAACUUCAAAGUUUAAUUUUUUUUUAAAAGAAAUAGAUUUAAAACUUUGACAUUAUUUCAAAAUUUUGAUGUAAAUUUUUAAUAUUUAAUUUUCAGUUUGAAUUUAAAUUAAUAUAUUAUAAAGAUAAAGUUAGUAUAUUAAUUUGAUUAUGUUUUUUAUAUCUACCUGAACCAAACACCGAUAAUGGGAAUGAUUUAUUCCGAUUCCGAUUCAGAUAACGAACCAAAUAGAAUUAGGUAAUGAGUCAUUCCGAUUCCGAUUCCAGCUUAUUUCGAUUCCGAUUCUUAUUCCAAUUCUGACUUCAAACCAAACGCGCCCUUAAUGUAAUUCAACCCAAA
rnacentral:lncRNA from 1 species